AGGCUUAACACAUGCAAGUCGAGCGCCCCGCAAGGGGAGCGGCAGACGGGUGAGUAACGCGUGGGAAUCUACCCUCUACUACGGAAUAACGCAUGGAAACGUGUGCUAAUACCGUAUGUGUCCUUCGGGAGAAAGAUUUAUCGGUAGGGGAUGAGCCCGCGUUGGAUUAGCUAGUUGGUGGGGUAAAGGCCUACCAAGGCGACGAUCCAUAGCUGGCCUGAGAGGAUGACCAGCCACAUUGGGACUGAGACACGGCCCAA
rnacentral:rRNA from 1 species